UGAGAAGAAAGCUGACCAGGUGUUUUAGAAUUUGAGGAAGUCAUAUCAAAGUGGGAUAUUUGACUAUCUAGGAAGACCCUAAACAGAUUUAAAAAAAAUACUCAAAAAUGAUAUUGAAAGAUGGGACUCUUUAUAUGACAUCUCUGAAAUACCUCAAGUACCACUCCAGUUCUCUUCGCCGAGCAGAUCAAAGAGGACUUGAGCCAAGACCCACUGAAAGCAGUGGAAUAUAUCAGGAGAGCUGCCGGAAGGGACUCUGUCGUGUAUGCCUCGGGACCUGUCCAGCCUGGCAUCUUAGCUCAGACCGUUGGCAGAGGUGGGUUUGAACCAAGACAUCUGACCUCGUGCUGGAGCUCCYGUAGCUCAGGCACGUAUUCCCUUCYGCUGACUCCGCAGUUGCGGUCGUGUCCUCCAGGACAGCCAUGGAACAGGCAUGGGCAGUAGUUUCUUAGACUGUUGCACCAAAUCGCUAGAGCUCAUCUUCCGGUUUAUUAAAUAUUAAUUAGAUACACACA
rnacentral:lncRNA from 1 species